ACACAUGCAAGUCGAGCGGUAGAGAGAAGCUUGCUUCUCUUGAGAGCGGCGGACGGGUGAGUAAUGCCUAGGAAUCUGCCUGGUAGUGGGGGAUAACGUUCGGAAACGGACGCUAAUACCGCAUACGUCCUACGGGAGAAAGCAGGGGACCUUCGGGCCUUGCGCUAUCAGAUGAGCCUAGGUCGGAUUAGCUAGUUGGUGGGGUAAUGGCUCACCAAGGCGACGAUCCGUAACUGGUCUGAGAGGAUGAUCAGUCACACUGGAACUGAGACACGGUCCAGACUCCUACGGGAGGCAGCAGUGGGGAAUAUUGGACAAUGGGCGAAAGCCUGAUCCAGCCAUGCCGCGUGUGUGAAGAAGGUCUUCGGAUUGUAAAGCACUUUAAGUUGGGAGGAAGGGCAGUUACCUAAUACGUGAUUGUUUUGACGUUACCGACAGAAUAAGCACCGGCUAACUCUGUGCCAGCAGCCGCGGUAAUACAGAGGGUGCAAGCGUUAAUCGGAAUUACUGGGCGUAAAGCGCGCGUAGGUGGUUUGUUAAGUUGGAUGUGAAAUCCCCGGGCUCAACCUGGGAACUGCAUUCAAAACUGACUGACUAGAGUAUGGUAGAGGGUGGUGGAAUUUCCUGUGUAGCGGUGAAAUGCGUAGAUAUAGGAAGGAACACCAGUGGCGAAGGCGACCACCUGGACUGAUACUGACACUGAGGUGCGAAA
rnacentral:rRNA from 1 species